rnacentral:rRNA from 1 species
AGGUUAAUAUUCCUGUACUUGGUGUUACUGCGAAGGGGGGACGGAGAAGGCUAUGUUGGCCGGGCGACGGUUGUCCCGGUUUAAGCGUGUAGGCUGGUUUUCCAGGCAAAUCCGGAAAAUCAAGGCUGAGGCGUGAUGACGAGGCACUACGGUGCUGAAGCAACAAAUGCCCUGCUUCCAGGAAAAGCCUCUAAGCAUCAGGUAACAUCAAAUCGUACCCCAAACCGACACAGGUGGUCAGGUAGAGAAUACCAAGGCGCUUGAGAGAACUCGGGUGAAGGAACUAGGCAAAAUGGUGCCGUAACUUCGGGAGAAGGCACGCUGAUAUGUAGGUGAAGUCCCUUGCGGAUGGAGCUGAAAUCAGUCGAAGAUACCAGCUGGCUGCAACUGUUUAUUAAAAACACAGCACUGUGCAAACACGAAAGUGGACGUAUACGGUGUGACGCCUGCCCGGUGCCGGAAGGUUAAUUGAUGGGGUCAGCGCAAGCGAAGCUCUUGAUCGAAGCCCCGGUAAACGGCGGCCGUAACUAUAACGGUCCUAAGGUAGCGAAAUUCCUUGUCGGGUAAGUUCCGACCUGCACGAAUGGCGUAAUGAUGGCCAGGCUGUCUCCACCCGAGACUCAGUGAAAUUGAACUCGCUGUGAAGAUGCAGUGUACCCGCGGCAAGACGGAAAGACCCCGUGAACCUUUACUAUAGCUUGACACUGAACAUUGAGCCUUGAUGUGUAGGAUAGGUGGGAGGCUUUGAAGUGUGGACGCCAGUCUGCAUGGAGCCGGCCUUGAAAUACCACCCUUUAAUGUUUGAUGUUCUAACGUGGACCCGUGAUCCGGGUUGCGGACAGUGUCUGGUGGGUAGUUUGACUGGGGCGGUCUCCUCCUAAAGAGUAACGGAGGAGCACGAAGGUUGGCUAAUCCUGGUCGGACAUCAGGAGGUUAGUGCAAUGGCAUAAGCCAGCUUGACUGCGAGCGUGACGGCGCGAGCAGGUGCGAAAGCAGGUCAUAGUGAUCCGGUGGUUCUGAAUGGAAGGGCCAUCGCUCAACGGAUAAAAGGUACUCCGGGGAUAACAGGCUGAUACCGCCCAAGAGUUCAUAUCGACGGCGGUGUUUGGCACCUCGAUGUCGGCUCAUCACAUCCUGGGGCUGAAGUAGGUCCCAAGGGUAUGGCUGUUCGCCAUUUAAAGUGGUACGCGAGCUGGGUUUAGAACGUCGUGAGACAGUUCGGUCCCUAUCUGCCGUGGGCGCUGGAGAACUGAGGGGGGCUGCUCCUAGUACGAGAGGACCGGAGUGGACGCAUCACUGGUGUUCGGGUUGUCAUGCCAAUGGCACUGCCCGGUAGCUAAAUGCGGAAGAGAUAAGUGCUGAAAGCAUCUAAGCACGAAACUUGCCCCGAGAUGAGUUCUCCCUGACCCUUUAAGGGUCCUGAAGGAACGUUGAAGACGACGACGUUGAUAGGCCGGGUGUGUAAGCGCAGCGAUGCGUUGAGCUAACCGGUACUAAUGAACCGUGAG